CCCAACGCAAUUCUGUUCAUUUUCUAUCUACCAUUUCCACAUACCGCAGAUUCGCAUACACUCAUGCAUACAUACAGCUUACACACGCACAAUCAUGUAGGAUGUAUGCAUACGUGCACUCAAAUCUCCCCAUUUGACCUAUUCUACAUAAUCUAGGCUAAUUUGCCAAUUCCAAUAUUGAUCGGCUCUGGCAUAGGCUAUUAGGCCUGCUUCUUUUUUCAUUUGGUGAUAGGCUAUUUAAUUCAAUUGCCUGAUAUCGGUGAGACUGUAUGCUACGAGUUGAAUGGGGAGAUGAGAGGACGGGCGUCAGCUGUCAACCAGAUUCAUUCGGUGUUUUUUCUCUCUCGCCAUAAUCGUUUGAGCGUCGGUUUUCUUUUUAUCUGCGCCUGUUACAUUGUAACGCACUCGAUGUUAAUUCGGGGGAAUAUGUGAACAUCAUGCUGGCGGUGUGGUGCUUGGUCUUUGCUGCAGUGGGCGAGAGGCUUGCCGUGUCAGGCGACGGCAGGUCGACUUUGCUGCGGGAUGCGAGUUUGUGGGAUUGGUUCUCGCCAGAGGAGCGGGGAGACAGCAGCGACAUUGCGGUCGAAGUCGCCUAUCCAAAGCGGCUGGUGCAGCAGAUGGAGUCGGAGGAAGAAAUGUCCCACGGCUAUUUGGAUACUCGCAUGAAGAAUACCACGGGAGGUACCCCCCCAGUCCAUUUGGCCCAGAGUUGUUUCCAGGUGGAAACCUUCGGACACACCUUCACCCUGGACCUGGAGUUAAACCACAACCUCCUGUCCUCAGACUACGUGGAGCGGCACUUCCACCAAGACGGCAAACCCUCGCAGUCUAUGGGAGGGGAGCACUGCUACUACCAAGGGAGGUUGAGGGGCUUACCAGAGUCCUGGGCAGCUCUCUCCACCUGUCUUGGCCUAUGUGGUAUGUUUUCUGAUGGGAUGUUCUCUUAUGGGAUUGAGCCUCUUUUCGACGGGACCAAUCAGACUGAGGGGGCCCACCUAGUGCGUAGGAUGCCUGAUGUCAGACUAUCCUCAGACUGUCAAGACUGCACAGACGACAGUGGGGGGGAUAGAGCCAGAGGUAAUGGUGAUGAGCAGAUGAAGGAUCCCCGGGUCAGUGAGGUGCUGAGGCGCUCUAAGAGACAGCUUCCGCGCAGGCCCACUGUGCAGUCAGAGACCAAAUACAUCGAGCUGAUGGUGGUCAACGACUACGAAAUGUUUGUGCAGCUGCGACGCUCCACUACCCAGGCCAGGAACUUUGCCAAAGCAGUGGUCAAUAUGGCUGAUGCAAUUUACAGGGAACAGCUGAACACACGCAUUGUGCUGGUUGCCAUGGAGACCUGGUCGUCGGCCAACAUGGUUCCCGUGGUGACCGACCCGUUGACGACGCUGCAGAACUUCAUGAAGUACAGGAAGGACAGUAUUAAGGAGCAAAGUGACACCGUGCACCUCUUCUCGGGGCGUACGUUCCAGAGCAGUCGCAGUGGGGCGGCCUACACCGGAGGGGUGUGCUCUCUCACCAGAGGAGGGGGCAUCAACGAGUAUGGGAACGUGGGUCCUAUGGCCAUCACUCUGUGCCAGAGUCUGGGUCAGAACAUUGGGAUGAGGUGGAAUAACAUACGCAGCUCUGCGGGAGACUGCAGAUGUCCUGAUUCUUGGCUUGGUUGUAUCAUGGAAGACACUGGAUAUUACCUGCCCAGAAAGUUUUCUCGCUGCAGUGUUGACGAGUACAUCCAGUUCUUGCUCCAGGGGGGCGGGAGCUGCCUCUUCAACAAGCCCAACAAGCUGUUGGACCCUCCUGAGUGUGGGAACGGCUUCGUGGAGACAGGGGAGGAGUGUGACUGUGGGUCUCAGCUGGAGUGUGCCCGUAGUGGAGGAGCGUGCUGUAAGAAGUGUACCCUGACCCACGAUGCCAUGUGCAGUAGUGGCCUGUGCUGCAGUGGGUGCAGGUAUGAGCUGAGAGGAGCGGUGUGCAGACAGGCUGUGAAUGACUGUGACAUCCCAGAGAGCUGCACAGGAGACUCCAGCCAGUGCCCACAUAAUGUGCACAAGCUGGAUGGAUACAUGUGUGACAGUAGUCAGGGUCGUUGUUAUAGUGGUCGGUGCAGGACUCUCGAUGGCCAGUGUAAGGGACUGUGGGGCUACAAUUCAGCAGACCGCUUCUGCUAUGAGAAGCUGAAUGCAGAGGGCACAGAGAAGGGCAACUGUGGGCCGAGUCCUGAGGGCCAGGGAUGGCUGCAGUGCAACAAGCCGGAUGUGCUGUGUGGUUUCCUGUUCUGUGCCAAUAUGACGGUGAAGCCAAAGUUUGGGGAUCUGGAGGGGGAAGUGACCAGCCAUACAAUAUACCACCAGAACAAGUACCUGGACUGCCGAGGGGGGCAUGUCCUGCUGGAGGAUGGGUCAGACCUGGGCUACGUAGAGGAUGGUACGCCGUGCGGCCCCAAUAUGAUGUGUCUGGAGCGCCGCUGUCUCCCCGUGGCAGCCUUCAACCUCAGCACCUGCUCCGGCUCCACGCUGGGACGCACCUGCUCUGACCACGGGACAUGCAGUAACGAGGUGAAGUGUAUCUGUGACAGGGACUACACCGGGAAGGACUGCAGUGUCUUUGACCCCAUCCCUGACCCCACGCCGCCUGCCAGCACGGAGAAGAAAGGGCUCAUAGGGCUCUCAUAGACCACAAAAACCAAAUCCACCCUAAGCAAGAGGGUGUCCAGCUGAAAGAGCAAGGAGAGGGGGAUGAGAAAGAAGUAAUAAAAACACCCUCCUUUUUUUAACUGUCGUCUCCCUGAUCUCCCCUCGCUCUCCCAUGCGCUCCCCCUUCCUCCACCCCACUUCCUUUCUUAUUCUCUCUUUCUCUUUCCUACUCUCUUUCUUUGGGUACCCUUUCUACCUCUCUCUCUCUCCUUCUCUCUCCUUCUCUCUCUUUCCGGAUGUUGUUGAUGUACAGUGUCGAUGCUGUCCUCUGACGUGUGUUUUUGGUGGUGUUGUUUUGUUCCCCUCCGCACCCUUCCUCCCCCCUCCUUCCUCUGCGCAGGUCCCAGUGGCACCAAUAUCAUAAUAGGGUCCAUCGCAGGUGCUAUUCUUCUGGCAGCUAUAGUCCUAGGGGGGACAGGAUGGGGAUUUAAGAAUAUCCGAAGAGGAAGAUCUGGUGGAGGAUAAGAUGUCUGUCCGUCUGUCUGUCUUUGUCUGUCUGCUCCUGUCUUUCUCUCACUCUGUGAUGUUUCCAAGUCGGAGAAGAGGGAAAAAGAACAAGUCUUCCACUCCUGUCCCGAACCUCUCCAGACCUCUUCUGUUAACAUCUCCUCUCCUGUCCACUUCCUGUCUGUCCACCUGUCCAUCUCCGGCCCCUCCGGGCCAGUGUAGCACCUCCCACAUUGCAUACCAGCCAAUUUUAUUAUCCAAUCAGGAUAAAGUAUUUGCCAUGGACAGAAUGAGAAGGUUGUUGUUGGUCCCUAGAGGGGCGUCAGGGUCUUCCUCCUUUCCAGCGACUAAGUAUUAUGCACUUCGGUGUCUGCGUACUGUAGUUCCCUUUCCUUCCGCUUACGACAGUCCCAUGAAGAACAUGUCAACAGUGGACAAAUUCAGUAUGAGACAUGUCUUUCCAAUGCUUGUCUGGAAACACACUUCUGGUCGCUGUUUGAGAAUGCUGGACUGGCCCAGACCUGCCAUCUGAAAAACGAUUUAAAUCAUAGGAUGUUGUCAAGGAAACACAGAAAAACAAACAUUGAUCAAAGAAUCAAGUGGCCAUUGGAUCAGUUGAACUGCCCCUUUCAGAGAGGCCUUGUCUGGUGACUGGAUGACAACCCAGAUUCAGACAUUAUCUAGUUACAACAACACGGAUGUGAUCCAAGAAGAGUCCUUGUCUGGUGACUGGAUGACAACCCAGAUUCAGACAUUAUCUAGUUACAACAACACGGAUGUGAUCCAAGAAGAGUCCUUGUCUGGUGACUGGAUGACAACCCAGAUUCAGACAUUAUCUAGUUACAACAACACGGAUGUGAUCCAAGAAGAGUCCUUGUCUGGUGACUGGAUGACAACCCAGAUUCAGACAUGAUCUAGUUACAACAACACGGAUGUGAUCCAAGAAGAGUCCUGUGUUGGACUUGUUGUGUACAGGCCAUUUCCAAAGAAGGAAGAGCAACUUAUUGUGAGAGUGACUAUGAAACAAAAGCAGUAGACCGUUCAAAACAUCAUGGACUGAUGUAGGGUUUAUGUAGAUUGUUCAUUCUUUGUUCCUGUCUGUUGAGAUGUGUUGAAAUGUAGGAAGGGGGAGUUAGACCCUAUGGUUUUGGGAUCAUAUUUAAAAUGCAGCAGAGACCGUAACUCAGUGUUUUCAACUGUAGAUCUACCAACACAACAUUCCACAUAGUGUUAGUUAACAGAGCCUGUCUGUAUGUGUCUGUAUUCUAUUUGCCACCUUCUUAAGAGGCCCAAAGUGUGUAUGGUAAAGGAGGUUGAAACUCUGUGUGUGUGUGUGUGGUGUGUGUGUGUGUGUGUGUGUGAGCGUGUGUGUGAGCAUGUGUGUGAGUGUAGGGUACCAAAAUUCCAGUUACUAUCCCAAUAUUUCCAAGUUUUCCGGAAAUCCUGGUUGGAAGAUUCCCGGAAUUGUGAAGGAAUAAGCAGGGAAAUAUGGAAUCCUCCAACCAGGAUUCCUGGAAAACCAGGGAAUGUUGAAAAAGUUACUGGAAUUUUGUGUGUGCGUGUGUGAGAGAUUACGCGAGGAAGAGAGCAGGUGAAUGAGAAAGGUACGUGUUGUGUUUGGGACAGUUAUGCCCUUGUUCACCAUGACACUCCUGCCAACAAAACACUGGUAGAUAGUUUAUAGAUUUUUACUUCUAGAAAAAGUUAUCUUUCUGCCUGGCUUUGUGCUCGGGAGCCAAUGGCAGCACACUAACAAACAAAUGGUUUGUAUUGAAUAUGUAACAACCAACUUAAACGAGCACUAGCCCUACAGAAUGUGGGAACACAUAUGCACAUCUAUUUGUAUAUACAGUAUGUACAAGAAGAUAAUACUGAAUGUUGAAUACAAUGUAUGAAAUUGUUUUAAAAUGCAAUGCUAAUAUUGCUUUGUUUGAUCUGUUUCAACUAAGUAUCUAUCUGUCUCCUGCCAUACAACUGUCCAUCUCCUUUAAGCCAUUCCUAGCUGUCCAUCUAUCUGUCUACCCGGCACACUGCCUAGUAAGCUAGCAAUCUGGCCAUCUAUCUAUUAUUGCAGCUGUCAAUCUAAAUGCCAUGUAAAUAUUGGACACUUAUUGAUAGGCUCUGAGCCUUACGCUGAUGAUGCUUCAGCACAGUGAGUUUGAAACGACCCCAGGACUCUUCCUCAGUGGAAAUGUGAUGAGAUGAGGUGCAUUGCUAUUGACCAGGGCCCGUAGUGCACUGCUGGUGAAAAGUAGUGCACUAUAAGGUAAUCAGGUACCAUUUGGGACACAACCUGGGGUCUGGUACACUAGGUGUAUGGAGAGGUCUGUUUGAUUCAGCUGAGUGUCUGUACUAUGGCAGAUGCACUAUAGUUCCUCACCAUAUGUACAGAAUGUGUACAAUCUUUAGAUGGUGGCCAGUUUGCUUGCGUUUUGAAUUUAGGAAGCAGAGAAAACGCAUCAUAUCCCAUAUUUUUAAACACUAUCUUUUUAAGUAGACUAUUGAAAUAAACAAUGUAGAUGAAUUGAAAUGAAGGGGAAAUAAAAGAUUAAAGUCAAAAGUAUUUCUUU